AGCAGAUUCUUGCAUUUUUGGGAGUAGGAGGAAGAGUAACACCCCAACGGAAACUAAAUCUAACUCAUUAUGGCUUACCCAAGACGACUCAACAUGAAAUUUAGUCGGAAAGCUAGUGAUAGCCCAUCGCACAGUGUGGAUUUUCGAGAUAGCAUUACUUAAGUAGAGACCGAGCAUACCGAACAUUUGUGCAGACUAGUUAGCUAGGUGGACGGGAUGAGCCCGUUUUGAAGGUCCAGAGCCGCAGCAGCGGAGCGCACGUGCCCUCCAGUCUAUGCCACGUGCUUAUGGAGCAGAAGGCCGUUCAUGGGCACAGGUUGCUUUUGAACGGAGUUUGAAGAAAUCCUGAUGAAGCUGGUGCAAGCAGUGCUACCUGGGAGAAGAUGAACUGUCCACGUUUGUUUUACUUCCAAUAAAAAUGAAUUCAGA